UACAGAGGGUGCGAGCGUUAAUCGGAGUUACUGGGCGUAAAGGGCGCGUAGGCGGUGAUAUUAGUGUGAUGUGAAAGCCCUGGGCUUAACCUAGGAAGGGCAUCGCAAACGAUAUGACUGGAGUACAAGAGAGGGUGGCGGAAUUUCCGGUGUAGCGGUGAAAUGCGUAGAGAUCGGAAGGAACGUCAAUGGCGAAGGCAGCCACCUGGCUUGAUACUGACGCUGAGGCGCGAAAGCGUGGGGAGCGAACAGG
rnacentral:rRNA from 1 species